rnacentral:rRNA from 1 species
UACGGGGGGGGCAAGCGUUGUUCGGAAUUACUGGGCGUAAAGGGCUCGUAGGUGGCCAACUAAGUCAGACGUGAAAUCCCUCGGCUUAACCGGGGAACUGCGUCUGAUACCGGAUGGCUUGAGUUCGGGAGAGGGAUGCGGAAUUCCAGGUGUAGCGGUGAAAUGCGUAGAUAUCUGGAGGAACACCGGUGGCGAAGGCGGCAUCCUGGACCGACACUGACACUGAGGAGCGAAAGCCAGGGGAGCAAACGGG